rnacentral:rRNA from 1 species
GAUGAACGCUGGCGGCGUGCUUAACACAUGCAAGUCGAACGAAGCAUUUGCGACAGAUUUUUUCGGAAUGAAGUUGCUUAUGACUGAGUGGCGGACGGGUGAGUAACGCGUGGGUAACCUGCCUUGUACUGGGGGAUAGCAGCUGGAAACGGCUGGUAAUACCGCAUAAGCGCACAAUGUUGCAUGACAUGGUGUGAAAAACUCCGGUGGUAUAAGAUGGACCCGCGUCUGAUUAGCUAGUUGGUGAGAUAACAGCCCACCAAGGCGACGAUCAGUAGCCGACCUGAGAGGGUGACCGGCCACAUUGGGACUGAGACACGGCCCAGACUCCUACGGGAGGCAGCAGUGGGGAAUAUUGCACAAGGGAGGAAACUCUGAUGCAGCGACGCCGCGUGAGUGAAGAAGUAAUUCGUUAUGUAAAGCUCUAUCAGCAGGGAAGAUAGUGACGGUACCUGACUAAGAAGCUCCGGCUAAAUACGUG